rnacentral:rRNA from 1 species
UGGGGAAUUUUGGACAAUGGGCGAAAGCCUGAUCCAGCAAUGCCGCGUGUGUGAAGAAGGCCUUCGGGUUGUAAAGCACUUUUGUCCGGAAAGAAAUCCUUGGCUCUAAUACAGUCGGGGGAUGACGGUACCGGAAGAAUAAGCACCGGCUAACUACGUGCCAGCAGCCGCGGUAAUACGUAGGGUGCAAGCGUUAAUCGGAAUUACUGGGCGUAAAGCGUGCGCAGGCGGUUUGCUAAGACCGAUGUGAAAUCCCCGGGCUCAACCUGGGAACUGCAUUGGUGACUGGCAGGCUAGAGUAUGGCAGAGGGGGGUAGAAUUCCACGUGUAGCAGUGAAAUGCGUAGAGAUGUGGAGGAAUACCGAUGGCGAAGGCAGCCCCCUGGGCCAAUACUGACGCUCAUGCACGAAAGCGUGGGGAGCAAACAGGGUUAGAUACCCUGGUAGUCCACGCCCUAAACGAUGUCAACUAGUUGUUGGGGAUUCAUUUCCUUAGUAACGUAGCUAACGCGUGAAGUUGACCGCCUGGGGAGUACGGUCGCAAGAUUAAAACUUAAAUGAAUUGACGGGGUCAUAGCUGUUUCCU